CAGAGAGAGCGGCGUACGGGUGCGGAACACGUGUGCAACCUGCCUUUAUCAGGGGGAUAGCCUUUCGAAAGGAAGAUUAAUACCCCAUAAUAUAAUAGAUGGCAUCAUUUAUUAUUGAAAACUCCGGUGGAUAGAGAUGGGCACGCGCAAGAUUAGAUAGUUGGUGAGGUAACGGCUCACCAAGUCAAUGAUCUUUAGGGGGCCUGAGAGGGUGAUCCCCCACACUGGUACUGAGACACGGACCAGACUCCUACGGGAGGCAGCAGUGAGGAAUAUUGGACAAUGGGUUAGCGCCUGAUCCAGCCAUCCCGCGUGAAGGACGACGGCCCUAUGGGUUGUAAACUUCUUUUGUACAGGGAUAAACCUACCCUCGUGAGGGUAGCUGAAGGUACUGUACGAAUAAGCACCGGCUAACUCCGUGCCAGCAGCCGCGGUAAUACGGAGGGUGCAAGCGUUAUCCGGAUUUAUUGGGUUUAAAGGGUCCGUAGGCGGAUCUGUAAGUCAGUGGUGAAAUCUCACAGCUUAACUGUGAAACUGCCAUUGAUACUGCAGGUCUUGAGUAAGGUAGAAGUAGCUGGAAUAAGUAGUGUAGCGGUGAAAUGCAUAGAUAUUACUUAGAACACCAAUUGCGAAGGCAGGUUACUAUGUCUUAACUGACGCUGAUGGACGAAAGCGUGGGGAGCGAACAGGAUUAGAUACCCUGGUAGUCCACGCCGUAAACGAUGCUAACUCGUUUUUGGGGCUUCGGCUUCAGAGACUAAGCGAAAGUGAUAAGUUAGCCACCUGGGGAGUACGUUCGCAAGAAUGAAACUCAAAGGAAUUGACGGGGGCCCGCACAAGCGGUGGAUUAUGUGGUUUAAUUCGAUGAUACGCGAGGAACCUUACCAAGGCUUAAAUGGGAAUUGACAGUUUCAGAAAUGAGAUUUUCUUCGGACAAUUUUCAAGGUGCUGCAUGGUUGUCGUCAGCUCGUGCCGUGAGGUGUUAGGUUAAGUCCUGCAACGAGCGCAACCCCUGUUACUAGUUGCUACCAUUAAGUUGAGGACUCUAGUAAGACUGCCUACGCAAGUAGAGAGGAAGGUGGGGAUGACGUCAAAUCAUCACGGCCCUUACGCCUUGGGCCACACACGUAAUACAAUGGCCGGUACAGAGGGCAGCUACACAGCGAUGUGAUGCGAAUCUCGAAAGCCGGUCUCAGUUCGGAUUGGAGUCUGCAACUCGACUCUAUGAAGCUGGAAUCGCUAGUAAUCGCGCAUCAGCCAUGGCGCGGUGAAUACGUUCCCGGGCCUUGUACACACCGCCCGUCAAGCCAUGGAAGUCUGGGGUACCUGAAGUC
rnacentral:rRNA from 1 species